UUCUGAACAUCCCUGCCCUCGGUGUCCCCCUCUGUACAGAGGAGCCCAUGUCCACCCCAGCGCUCCCCUAUGGGAAGCGAUGUUGGGUCAGUCUCUUCCUCUCCUGGAGCUUUCCGCAGCCUCCCCGCCCCUCCCCCCCCACUCUACCUGGACCUUGGUCAUUUAUGUCAGAGUCUGCUGGGGGCCGGGAGAAAGUGGGCCCAGACACCUGGGACAGAAGUGGAUCUCCUGCUUCAGACCCUGGGCAGGGCUCUGUCUGGGCAGCUCUGAGCAUGGAGCGCCCCCCGAACGGUGAGACCCACCGCCCACGCUGCUCCCCGCCGAGGACCGCGUGGAGGGAGGUGAGGCGGGGUCCUGCAUGGAGGGGAGCGGGGCUCACCGUGCGGAGCCUGUCUGGCGGCUGGCACCAGUACUUUAGGACCACAGCACCACCAGGAAGAGGACCCGGGGCCCUGGCCGGCCCAGGCCUGUGCGGCCCCCUCCCCCGGCCCGGAGAGCACGGCUGCUCCUGUGUUCAGGCAUAGACAACGCACUGGGGUAGCAAGGAGGGACAGCGCUGUGGGAACACGGAGGCAGGAGAGAAGGCUGCUGGGGGGUGGGGAGCGGGAGGGAGGGGUGCUGAGGAAACCGCCCCUCCUCAUCACCAUUGGCAAACCCUGACACUCCAGCCCCUGGGCCGUGGCAGGCAGGGACACAUACGGCUCACUGAAUCUUGAUGCCCGUGCGAUUAUCCCCACUUCACAGAUGAGGAAACUGAGGCUCAGAGAAGCAACCUGGCCAAGGCUGCUGCAACGUGGUGUGAGGCUGCCUGAGAAGGGGCGGCCCGCGGAGGGUUCUGCAGGCGAAUAGGAGUUGGCUGGCCGAGGAAACAACUCACGGGCUGGGGAAAACGUGGACGUGUGCCACAGAACGGAGAGGAGUACAGGCGGACAGAACACGGGUGCAUGCCUGACUCACAGGAGGUGCUCAGAAAGUAAACACAGCAGGAGGUCUCAAACCACCCCCUCCAGUUAGGAGGGUAGGUCUACGUGACUGCACUAUGGACCCACUGGCCUGGGUCUUGCCAUCUGUGAAGUGGGCACAACAGAAGACAUCUGGAAGGGAAGCGGCCCUCCCAGCUGGAGAAUUCACCGUGCACUUACAGCACGCCACCCACGACUCCAAGCACUCACUCCAGAGGCGUCUGUCUGCUCCUCACCACGACCCCAUGCAGCCACUGUGCUGUUACCAUCCAUUUCUCAGAGGCAAAAGUGGAGGCUCAGAGAGGCCAGGCAGCACCUCCUCCUGGAAGCCCUCCCUGACGCCACGGCUGGAUAGGAACCCAGGACUGAGCUCUACGCCCUCACAUGGUGUCCAUAUGUUUGUCCUCCCUGCUAGUCAGCAGCUCCAGGAGGCCAGGACGGCUCUUCAGACUCAGCAAACACGAAGCCAAACAAAAUGCAAUGCAAAAGGUGGCAGUUUCAUGCAGUUGGAUCUGAUCCUUGGGGCCUUAGAAGUAUCUAUCACAGAAUCAGUGGCUCUCGGCCACAUCCACUGACAGAAGAAAUUCAAGCUUUCACACGUGAGCCAAGUUUAUUCCGGGCCCAGGACCGCACCCCACCCCUCUGCCACCGCCUGAGCCAGCAGCAUUGGCAUCACCUGGGAACUCGUCAGAAAUGUAUAUUCUGCAUGAGGAGCUCAGGCGGCCCGGCGACAUGUUUAACAACCCUCCCCCCCCACAGCAGAUCCCAAUGCCGCUCAAAUGGGAGAACCCUGCCCUAAAAUGUAUAAAGGGACACUGUUUUUCUAACAAGCCAAAAAGGAAAAGGAGUGGUGAUGGGGAGAAGUGAUCUUUGUUAUUCAUCCUCGUAAAUACACACGAUAGCAGUAAUCAUCUGUGAUGUCACCGCGGCCUUUCCUGACCACGCUGUUUGAAAUUGCACCCUUCUGCCCUCGCCGCCUCUCCGCCCUCCCCGCCUCUCCGCCCGCCCCAGCUUCCCUCUCGUCCCUGCCUCUAAUCACCUCUAAUUAGCUGUCAGGAGGAUACAAGCUAGCCCGGCCCCCUCCCUGACAACAGCAGGGAUUACAUAUGUGAUCUCUCCGUUUUUUAUUUUCUCCUUCCCUUUUGGAAGAAAGGUCGGCAGCCUUUCUGUUCACUGCUCAGCACCCAGCACCCAGUGCAGGGUCUGGCAUACAGUAGGUGCCCAAUACAUGUUGGAUCCAUGGAACCCAGAUGUGCGUUACUGCUUUCAGCUCGCUGCAACACAUGCCCUUACUGGAUGCUUUGCAGAAUGUCUGAGACAGCCAGGAUGAGUAUCACUUUAUACCCAAUUUGCAGAUGAGCAAACUGAGCCUCAGGCAGAGCAGACUUGCCUGACAGCAAACGGAGCCUCAGACUCCCACUUGGGUCUGAGUCCUAACCCAGAGCUCUGCGCCUGUAGGCACAUUCAGGCCCCAGGGACCCUCCAUCCUGGCUCUGCCCUCCUACUGCUGCCAACAAGCAGGCCCAGAGGGACCGCGGUCCAAGGGCACUGCCAAAACAAACCGCCGGCCUGGGCACCUCGGAUCCAGGGCUGGAGGGAGGAAGGCCAUGGCAGGCCUCCUCUGAAGUCUCGGCGCGCGGCUUCAGGGCCGCGGUGAUGACGCCUGCCAUAUGAGAGGCCCCCCGGUGUAAAGACACACAGCUAAUUAGCUGUCAGGAGCGAUGCAAACUCUAGCUGGGCCCCUCCCCGACAGCGUCUCCCGGAAUCGCCCUCUGCCACCGCGUGUCACCACAUGAUAAAAGGAAAUAUGUUCAAAGCCGAGCCACUAACAAGAGAUGAGGAGGCUCACAGAGGCAGAGAGAAGCAGAUUGCCUCUGACACACUCCAAGGA